rnacentral:rRNA from 1 species
UGGCGAGUGGCGAACGGGUGAGUAAUGUAUCGGAACGUACCUUUCAGUGGGGGAUAACGUAGCGAAAGUUACGCUAAUACCGCAUAUUCUGUGAGCAGGAAAGCAGGGGAUCUUAGGACCUUGCGCUGAUUGAGCGGCCGAUAUCAGAUUAGCUAGUUGGUGAGGUAAAGGCUCACCAAGGCGACGAUCUGUAGCGGGUCUGAGAGGAUGAUCCGCCACACUGGAACUGAGACACGGUCCAGACUCCUACGGGAGGCAGCAGUGGGGAAUUUUGGACAAUGGGGGCAACCCUGAUCCAGCCAUGCCGCGUGAGUGAAGAAGGCCUUCGGGUUGUAAAGCUCUUUCGGCCGGGAAGAAAUCGCAUGGGUUAAUACCCUGUGCGGAUGACGGUACCGGCAUAAGAAGCACCGGCUAACUACGUGCCAGCAGCCGCGGUAAUACGUAGGGUGCGAGCGUUAAUCGGAAUUACUGGGCGUAAAGCGUGCGCAGGCGGUUUUGUA